rnacentral:RNase_P_RNA from 1 species
AGAGCAAACCGGACGGCCGCUGCUGCCGGUUCUUCCGGGGUAGAGGAAAGUCCGAGCUCCACAGGGCAGCGUAGUGGGUAACGCCCACCUUCGCGCCGCUUGCGGCGCGGGCGGAUUAGAGCAACAGUGACGAUUUCCCGCUUCGGCGGGAAGUGAAACGCGGCAAUCUCUACGCGGAGCAAGAUCAAAUAGGAGGAGGGUUGCCCGCCUGCUAUUCCUCGGGUUCGGUCGCUCAUGAUUCCGGUCAGUAAUGUCCGGGACAAGAUGAAUGGCCGUCGCUUCAGAUUUUCUGAAGAACAAAACUCGGCUUACAGGUUUGCUCUCCGG